CUGACGUCACCACGAGCGCGAGAAGUCGAAGGUGUAUCAGUAUGAAGCAGGCGGUGACGGCGCACUGAUUCACUCUCGGAGCUCGGUUCACUAAUGACCGAAUCACCGAGGAACCGACCAAAGAUAACUCACACCCGCACGGAGAAGAAGAACAAGAGGAGGAGAAGAUGAACUGGAGUGGGGCAAAGAGAACUGCAUUCAGAUCAAACGGAUACAAGAGAGGUGGCCGAGUUGUUUGAGGAUCUAAAGAAUUGAGUGUCACAAUUCAACAUGCACAUCAGCGAAACUUUUCCCUCUGACUACACCAGCACGCACGCACAGAAAUUCAUAGUGCAGGUGGUGAUUGCAGGCGCAUUUUAUCCGAACUGCUUCCUCCAGGGAACUGUGGACGAGGAGCUCGCCUCCAAGGAACUCUAUGGAAACGACCCCAGGACCACCAUAGUGGUGUGUAAUCUCCCUCCAUUUGCAUUCCUCUACUAUAAACAGCUCCAGUCUCUCUUCAGACACUGUGGUUAAAUCAAAUCCAUCUCCUUUGACAGCUCCAGGGCCUAUGUAGAGUUCUACCACUCGUCAAUGAGAGGUUCUGGCGUUCUCCCAGAGGUCUCUCUGUCUCUCCUCCUCACGCAGCAGAGACUUCCUCUCCAUGUCAACGUUUAACCUGCUGGAGAGGUGGAGACUUGGGCAGGGGGGUAGUGUAUCUCACACCUCAGAUAUACACGGGUGAAUGUGGAUUUUCAGAAUCAGUCAGUGAGCCCUGUCAGGGUUCUGAGCAGCUCCAUUGAGUUGGAGAAUCUUCCGUCUAACCCUGUCUUUAUCGUCAAUAUCACCGAGGUGUCUGUUCCGCCUCUUUCACUUUCAGUGCACAAAUAAAAAAGAAGCAGUGGCUCCUGUGUGUGCGUGUGUGUGUGUGUGUGUGUGUGUGUGUGUGUGUGCACUAACAGGAGGUCCAGGUGCAGCCUUUGGAUAUUGAUGAAGAUUUACUGCCCCUGCAAGACCUUCCUCAACUGCGUAGUCUGGAGCAAAGGAUGCAACAGAGCCCAGAUUACAAGCAAAAUCUGGUAAACUGGUUGGCGCUUAUUGACGGGGUGUAUGUGCGUGACUGCACCUGGCGCAUAUUGAAGAGGGUGAUUGCUAACUCCCUGGCAAAGAAUCUCAAUUGGAGGGGAGUCAAUGGAAAGACUUCACUGUCCGCUCUCCAACUCGGAGAGGUCGUGAUUGCGUGUCGGCCUUGGAGAUGAGAAUCACGCCAACUCGGAACGAUCCCCUCUCUUUGUGCAGUUCAUCGACUGUGUGUGGCAGAUGAUGAGACAGGUCAGCUACUGAUGCUUUACACCACAACACUGUUGAAUUCUCCAAUCUGAUUGGUCAGAAGGCGUUGGAGACAUUUCUGGAACAGCAAGAUUCUGAUUCCAGCUGCAAGGGAAAUUACAGCUUUAUAGUGAUGUGCUCGUUCUCGUUCCUAUAGUAACAGCUCAUUGACAGGGUCUAGUAUGGCGUACGCAAUACAUAUUCUAAGCUUAAUCGUAAACAUAUUAUAAACAUGUCACUUAAAGAAAAAGACGUAUGAUCAUUGUGAUCUAGUUAAGAUUUAUAAGUUAUCUAUUUAUGGAAGUUUUAUGGAAGUAGUCUCCAGUGUCACGGCAGAGAGGACAUUGCACUUUCCAGUUUCUCAGUAACAUUGCAAGUCUUAUUAAUUUCAAGAGUUAGGGGGAAAAAAGAGAGGCUUGUGAGGGAACUAUUGUUUUAUUUUAAUGUUAUAAAGUAAGAGAUCAUAAUGAGAACUAACUCUCUUUUCCAGGACAUUCCAAAUUGUUCUUUGGCUAUGCCCCAUGUUUGUGCAAUGGUUCAGACCGGUUUUUCCUCUUUUCGCAGCUUCAAAAUGGCUUGCUUUUCUCCCAUAGACAGCUCUCUGGUCUUCAUGUCGGUUUAUUCUUUUUAACAACAAAUGCUGUCUCCACAGGUGAAACCCAGGGCUCAAACCAAGAGAAGACAUUCAGAGCUAUUCAUUGUUUAAAGUCCAUUUAACGAGCUGCCUGUUUGGUACAUUCCUCUACAGCAGUGAGCAGGAGAGAAUGGAAAAGGAAGUACAGGGUAAAACAGUCACUGUGGUCCUACGUUAACAGUCAGCCGGAGGACUUCACUAACCCGUUCUAUGUGGACUGUAAAAACCAGGUGCUGUAUCCACUGGCCAGUCUCACACAUCUGGAGCUCUGGGUGGGUUAUUAUGUGCGUUGGAACCCACGCAUGAGACCACAGAUGCCGCUCCAUCAGAAUCUGAGAGAGUUAUUGUUUUUGCGUGAAGAACGUGGAGGAGCUCCAGAGAGAGGCCACGUCAUCCUGCUCCAUCUCCUCAUCCUCAGAGCAUACUUCUCCCUCCUCACAUAGUGGUUUGGCAUGCUGUGCAUCCUGAGAUGCUUUUCUGCUCACCAUGUAUGUAAAGAGAGCUUAUUUGAUGUUACCAUGGCCGUCCUAUUAACUUGACCCAGUCUGGCCAUUCUCCUUUCGUCAACAAGGUGUUUCCACCCCGAGAACUGCCACUUACCGGAUGUUUUUCACACAAGUGUGUGUGUGGAAAUCCUAGGAGAGCCGAAGUUUCUGGAAUACUCAAACCAGACCAUUUAGAAUCUACAACCAUGCCACGGAUAAAAUCACUGGAUUACAUUCUGGUGUUUGAUGUGAAUAUUGACUGAAGCUCUUCAUCUGAUCCUGCUUGAUGUUGUACACUGUGGUGUUGCCAUAUGAUUGGCUGAUUGGAUAAUUGUAUGAAUGAGCACAUGUACAAGUGAUCAGUGAGCACAUCUAUCUACCAUAGAGGUAUUUUGGGGCAAUACUUGACAAUGUACCUGACUUUGUUAGAUUUGUGGCCAAGUUGAAGAAGCUUUUGACAUCCCAAUGGAAAAUAAUAAAUAAAACAAUCCAGGACAAAUUCACUUUCAGUAUUUUAUUUUUACAUUGUUUUUUUCCCCCUUAAUGUUAAUCUCUUUCUACAGAACCCGUCCAAACUUCAUAUGUCAAUGUAGUAAGCAAGAUAAACUGUCUACAGAUAAAGAAUCUAAGCAU